GACGAACGCUGGCGGCGCGCUUAACACAUGCAAGUCGAGCGAAGCGGCGGACGGGUGAGUAACACGUGAGUAACCUGCCUUAGACAUUGGGAUAGCCUCGGGAAACCGGGAUUAAUACCAAAUGGUCUAAGAUGGACUCGGGUCCCAUUAGCUAGUUGGUGAGGUAACGGCCCACCAAGGCGACGAUGGGUAGCCGGCCUGAGAGGGUGAACGGAGACAUUGGAACUGGGAAGCGGUCCAAACUCUACGGGAGGCAGCAGUGGGGAAUAUUGCACAAUGGAGGGAACUCUGAUGCAGCGACGCCGGGUGAACGAAGAAAGCUUUCGAGUCGUAAAGUUCUUUUAUAUGGGAAGCGGUACCAUAAGAAAAAGCCCCGGCUAACUACGUGCCAGCAGCCGCGGUAAUUC
rnacentral:rRNA from 1 species